GCCUGGCUAGCUCAGUUGGUAGACCAUGAGACUCUUAAUCUCAGGGUUGUGAGUUCAAGUCUCAUUUUGGGCA